AUUGAACGCUGGCGGCAGGCCUAACACAUGCAAGUCGAGCGGAUGAAGGGAGCUUGCUCCUGGAUUCAGCGGCGGACGGGUGAGUAAUGCCUAGGAAUCUGCCUGGUAGUGGGGGAUAACGUCCGGAAACGGGCGCUAAUACCGCAUACGUCCUGAGGGAGAAAGUGGGGGAUCUUCGGACCUCACGCUAUCAGAUGAGCCUAGGUCGGAUUAGCUAGUUGGUGGGGUAAAGGCCUACCAAGGCGACGAUCCGUAACUGGUCUGAGAGGAUGAUCAGUCACACUGGAACUGAGACACGGUCCAGACUCCUACAGGAGGCAGCAGUGGGGAAUAUUGGACAAUGGGCGAAAGCCUGAUCCAGCCAUGCCGCGUGUGUGAAGAAGGUCUUCGGAUUGUAAAGCACUUUAAGUUGGGAGGAAGGGCAGUAAGUUAAUACCUUGCUGUUCUGACGUUACCAACAGAAUAAGCACCGGCUAACUUCGUG
rnacentral:rRNA from 1 species